AUUGAACGCUGGCGGCAGGCCUAACACAUGCAAGUCGAGCGAGCGGCGGACGGGUGAGUAAUGUCUGGGAAACUUCCUGCUGGAGGGGGCUAACUACUGGAAACGGUAGCUAAUACCGCAUACCAUCAGAUUUGCCCAGAUGGGAUUAGCUAGUAGGUGGGGUAAUGGCUCACCUAGGCGACGAUCCCUACCUGGUCUGAGAGGAUGACCAGCGACACUGGAACUGAGACACGGUCCAGACUCCUACGGGAGGCAGCAGUGGGGAAUAUUGCACAAUGGGCGCAAGCCUGAUGCAGCCAUGCCGCGUGUAUGAAGAAGGCCUUCGGGUUGUAAAGUACUUUCAGCGAGGAGGCGUUACUCGCAGAAGAAGCACCGGCUAACUCCGUGCCAGCAGCCGCGGUAAUUC
rnacentral:rRNA from 1 species